UCUUCUGCUCCUUUUGUAUCGCUACAGACCGUCCAAAGAUUCCUGCUCCAUCAGGCCAAUCCAGUCUGAGAGCACUAAUCGAGGUUCUGUCGAAAACUACUCCUCUCCUGUCCACGUGGCUGCAGGUGAUGCUCCUCUCUAUGAAACAAUCAAAGGCUUUGAAAACACACAGAGUG